GCGCCCAUAGCUCAGUUGGUAGAGCAGUCGCCUCUUAAGCGAUUGGUCGAAGGUUCGAAUCCUUCUGGGCGCACCA
rnacentral:tRNA from 7 species